rnacentral:rRNA from 1 species
UAUCAGAUGAGCCUAGGUCGGAUUAGCUAGUUGGUGGGGUAAUGGCUCACCAAGGCGACGAUCCGUAACUGGUCUGAGAGGAUGAUCAGUCACACUGGAACUGAGACACGGUCCAGACUCCUACGGGAGGCAGCAGUGGGGAAUAUUGGACAAUGGGCGAAAGCCUGAUCCAGCCAUGCCGCGUGUGUGAAGAAGGUCUUCGGAUUGUAAAGCACUUUAAGUUGGGAGGAAGGGCAGUAAGCUAAUACCUUGCUGUUUUGACGUUACCGACGGAAUAAGCACCGGCUAACUCUGUGCCAGCAGCCGCGGUAAUACAGAGGGUGCAAGCGUUAAUCGGAAUUACUGGGCGUAAAGCGCGCGUAGGUGGUUUGUUAAGUUGGAUGUGAAAGCCCCGGGCUCAACCUGGGAACUGCAUCCAAAACUGGCAAGCUAGAGUACGGUAGAGGGUGGUGGAAUUUCCUGUGUAGCGGUGAAAUGCGUAGAUAUAGGAAGGAACACCAGUGGCGAAGGCGACCAC